GAGGUGCCAUCUUUUUUCGGCGUGUCACGUCUUUACGGUGCCAUGCCAAACCGGGUGGCCGGGCUUCAUAGGACAGGGCGGGGCCUGGCAUUAAAGGGAGGGGGACAAUCAGCGCUGAAAUCUUGGCGUUUUGCUGCUGCGGGCGUGAGCACUGGGGGCGUUCGCCCAGCACCUUCUUCGGGGGCUCUUUGCUUUGUCUGUAGAGGUUACGUGAUCUGCGCUCCCAGCCCUGGUUUCUGGCUUUUAUUCUGAGGGUGUUCAGUCAACCUCCCCCCUACGCCCAUGCGCCUCUCUUUCCUUUUUCGCUCCUCAUUUCCGAGCCCAUUGUUGGAUCUCGAGGCUUGCUGGGUUCGAUGAACUCGAGUCAACCCCCCGACCCCCGGCACGCAUGGAACGGGCGUGACCGCGCGCAGCCUCGUCUCGGAGUCUGCCGGCGCCGGGAAGCUUCUGAAGGGAUGGGAUUCGAGUCUCCGUGCGCGCUGCGGGCGGCGGCAGAGGGAUCUCGCCCCUCCCUACACCCCAAGUGUCCUGAGGGCCACGCCACACCAGGUUGCCCAGCGAGGGACGCUGGCUACCCAUCCGGGGAUGGGUGGGGAGCCCUGGCGGGGCCUCUCCGGCUUUACGCCCUGUUGCUUCGCCUGGCCGGAGAAUGUGAGGAAGGGGCAUAAGGUUACUGGUGCUUCGGCCACACCCAUCUUUCUGAGCCCACUGGACUGGGCGCAGAGGGGGGAUUGCCAUGGAAACCACAGGUGUCCGGAGAGGGGAUCUUGGGGCUGGCCUCACCCCUUCCCUGCGGAGAUUGGGGACCCUGGGGUAGGGGGAGCCGCGCCCAGUCGGCCUCCUGGAGGACACGGGAGGAAGCCCCGAACCCCCGCGCCUGAGGCUGUUUCUGAUUGGCCCCUGGAGGCCGCAGACACGCAGAUAGGCGGCCCUGGGUGUAUUUUUAUUAAUAUUAUGUCCGUACUGAUUAAUAUUAUUUAUCUUAAAUAAAUUUCACCCGUGUCCAAGUUCACCGCGCCCCCAAAACCGAGUCUGGGGCGGCAGGGGGAACUCCUGGCCAACGAAUCCAUGCCUCGCCCUCCUGUGAUGAACCUGGUACGCACGGUUUUCUGGUUAAUUCUAUCGCUGAAAACUGGUGCGGGGGGCGCACUUCUGAGACGGAAGAGCAUCUAGGAGCUGAAUCCUCCACGCGGGUCGCCCAGGUUGAUCUGAAUUUCUGGGGAAUGGCUUGGCUGCCCGCCCGGGACCAGGCCGACCCUCCUUGACGGUGGCGUAGAGGGCUGGAGCCUGGGUACUGCGAGGCUCCUCGCAUGGCUGGGCCCGCCGCGAGGGGUUGCAGAGCGGCUCAGGGAUCGAUUCAAGCAUCGUCUCUCCUCCCUCGCCCCCAGACAGAGCUGGGCGCGGGGUUCCCCUUCCAGAUGGAGCGAGGGUCUCGGGGUGGCCCCGGAAAAGGGGAGCCCGCGGCCACGGCUACGUAUUGCCAUCUCGCGAGCAGAGAUGUCACCUCCUGCCUUUGGAGGAAAGGGAGCCCGGUGGGGAUGAGCGCAUUUAGCCCAAUGCUGGGAACAAAGCGCACUCCGCGCUUCUGCGAUUUCGCUCCAUUUUGAAAUGUGUUGGCGCUUUGGUGGGGCCGCUGCGGUGGGCAAGGCCGGGGGCGCUGUUAAUGGAGGAACCUCAGGGGGACGGUCCUUCGUAGGAAACUCUAUCCUGGCUCUGCGCGCGCUUUAAGGAAAUGGCUUCCCUCCAGGACCUCGAGGGAUGCAGCUUUUGCGCGGAUGACGGUGGGGUGCUGAACCAGCCGGUGCGCCUCUGGAAAUGUCUGGGCACGGAUCCUGGGGCCAUCGACGACUCCUCCCCAUUCCCAGCAGGCGGGAGCUCUUACAUUCCGAGCGAGUGACCCCUCUCACCCUCUGGCGCUCACACACCUGUAACUCCAAACCUCCGUCUCAGAAUGGUCCAGGCUGGAAGGGAUGAUGGGGGCUCCGACAGCGACUGCCUAGCUCACCCCUCUGCGUGCUCAGGCUCCAGGCUCAGCAGGACCAAUUUGAGUUCUAUCUGAUCCCCCUCGGCCCCUUAACUGACCCAUCCUACAGGAGACAGGGAAAUGUCUUUCCUACCGCGGUUGAUUCUGGGGUGUCAUUUUGUGUUUUGUGAUGGCUGCUUAUAUUUACUGUAUAAGCAUUGUAUUUACUGUAUAAGCAUUGUAUUAUAAUUACUGUAUAAGCUGCUUAUAUUUACUGUAUAAGCAUCUCCAAAUCCUCCCUCUACGUAAACAAAUUAAUGGAUAAACAGAUAAGUGUAUCCCCUGCCCCCACCCCUGCUACGCAGGUCCGGAGUGACUCUUGAAGCUCAUACAUUCCUUGGCCAAGUUUGCUUCUCUAACAGAUGUUUAUAUAGCAAUAACCUGGCUUGGCUCUUGGGUUCACCUUUGGACGAUUUGGGGAAGGGGCUUGUUGGCUUUGCUGGGUUUUGGAUGAGUGACAGUCCAUGACUGUUCCUGCUGGAAGGGCGUGACUUUUAAGUGGUUUCUAAUAUCAGGCAUUGCUCCUCCGACAGGAACAAAAGAAAUGGAUACUGCCCAUAAAUUGUUAGAAAACUUAGAAUCGCUUUGAUUGAGGAAAGGUUAGAUUUAUUCCGGUUGGAAAAAGUGGCCUUUCUAUUAAACGUGCCCUUUGACCCUCAUGCCCUUGGAGGUCGGUGCCAGCCUGGAGAUGGGAUAAGAUUGUGGUUUUCCUUCUGCCUUUUUAACAUCUGUUGUUACAGUCCAUUUGUUGAAAAUUUAAAGAAACUGUUUUAUUCCACUUUCCCUCAGCAUUUAUGUGUGUGGUUUCAGUAGCUCUGUGGCUAUAUGUACGAACACGUGUUAUUUUUCCAAUUGGACAUGUGAUAAUUUUCCAACUGGACCUUGCCUUCUAUUGAUGUAUUUAUUUAGCAUCUUCCUUACUCCCUCCUUGAAAAAGAAUCACUCAAAAACAAAUAAAAACAGCCGUAGGGGCCUAAUACAGUGCUAGACAUAAAAAAAAA
rnacentral:lncRNA from 1 species